GGCUGGUCUGAGUGCAGUGGUGUUUACAACUAAUUGAUCACAACCAGUUACAGAUUUCUUUGUUCCUUCUCCACUCCCACUGCUUCACUUGACUAGCCUUAA
ensembl:misc_RNA Y_RNA Y RNA